rnacentral:rRNA from 1 species
AUACGUAGGGAGCGAGCGUUGUCCGGAAUUACUGGGUGUAAAGGGAGCGUAGGCGGGGUUUUAAGUCCGUUGUGAAAUCUAUCGGCUCAACCGGUAGCUGCGGCGGAAACUGGGACUCUUGAGUGAAGUAGAGGCAGGCGGAAUUCCUAGUGUAGCGGUGAAAUGCGUAGAUAUUAGGAGGAACACCAGUGGCGAAGGCGGCCUGCUGGGUCUUUUACUGACGCUGAGGCUACGAAAGUGUGGGGAGC